CAACAUUCAGCAACGGAUCUCUUGGCUCUCCCAUCGAUGAAGAACGCAGCGAAAUGCGAUAAGUAAUGUGAAUUGCAGAAUUCAGUGAAUCAUCGAAUCUUUGAACGCACCUUGCGCCCUUUGGUAUUCCGAAGGGCAUGCCUGUUUGAGUGUCAUU
rnacentral:rRNA from 1 species